UACGUAGGCAGCAAGCGUUGUUCGGAAUUACUGGGCGUAAAGAGUGUGUAGGCGGUGCUCUAAGUUCGGUGUGAAAUCUCCCGGCUCAACCCUCGGAUGCCGGUGGAUACUGUCGGGCUAGAGUGCGGGAGAGGCGAGUGGAAUUCCUGGUGUAGCGGUGAAAUGCGCAGAUAUCAGGAGGAACACCGAUGGCGAAGGCAGGUCUCUGGGCCACUACUGACGCUGAGACACGAAAGCCAGGGGAGCAAACGGG
rnacentral:rRNA from 1 species